CUAAGUUUGAUGGCGACCGGCGCACGGGUGAGUAACACGUAUCCAACCUGCCGAUGACUCGGGGAUAGCCUUUCGAAAGAAAGAUUAAUACCCGAUGGCAUAGUUCUUCCGCAUGGUAGAACUAUUAAAGAAUUUCGGUCAUCGAUGGGGACGCGUUCCAUUAGGUUGUUGGCGGGGUAACGGCCCACCAAGCCUUCGAUGGAUAGGGGUUCUGAGAGGAAGGUCCCCCACAUUGGAACUGAGACACGGUCCAAACUCCUACGGGAGGCAGCAUG
rnacentral:rRNA from 1 species